GCUAGUUGUGUCCGUGAAAUAAAGUGAUUCCUCUGAAAAAUCUAGAGGAGAGCAUUGGCAGACUGUUUCUUUUUCUCAGUUACCUGUGUUUCGUAUUGUGUUUUCAGUCCAAAAUGCAGCUGAAGUUCUCUAGGAAAGAGAAAGCAAAGAGUCACAAUUGAAGUAUGAUGCCAGUAUUUCUUCCGACCAUGUGUCUUGGGGACUUAACUCCAAAUGUGUCUCAACACAAUGGCAAAAAACAAUACUCUGCUUUUCUCCCCCCCCCCCUUUCUUUGGUAGUUAUUGACAGCAAAUUCUCAAACUGCCAUAACAAAUUCACUAAAAUCACUGUCAUUAUCUUCUCAACCAGAAAUGAGAAUAAAUAUAUCUGUGGGCAUCAAUACCCUUGUGUUUGGACUCAGCGAGGUACUGCAAUGUUGAGGAUAUGGAUAACUCCCACCUCUAAAGAAUUCAUUUGCAUUUCCCUGGAGCUGCCUAAUGUGGUAACUUACCCAUUUCAUGGAUUAUACUUAAUUUAUAAACGUUUUUACUGCUGCCGAAGAAUUUAAACAUGAGAGAUGGAAGUGCAGAGAUGAAAGAAACAGGCAGUACAAGAACAUGUGAGGAUAAGAAUCAGCAAGAGGCUUCAGUGAAGAUACAGUUGGAUCUGGGAGGAAAAAAAAAAACUAAAAAGAAGAGAAGGGCAGGGGAGAGCAGAGGAGAAACUUCUGGAAAAAGAUACUCUCUUGGCAAGAUGAAUGGAAAAUAAAACUGCAGAAUGAAAGACUGCUUAAAGAACAGUCCCUAAUCUUCUGCCAACACAGGCUAAUUUGUAUUUCUGGAACUAGCAGAAAGGAUGUCAGCUGAAGCUCAUGUUAGAGUCACCUUGCAGCAAAUGUUCCACCGCACAUGUGCAGUCAGGAGGGAGUGGAAUGAAUUUAGGUUCAUCGAGUGAAGAAUGACUUCAGGAACUCCAAACAUCCCAUUCCCGAGCUUCAGCUUCAGAACAUAGGCUCUUUCUCUCUAAUUGCACAUAGGAAAUAAAGAGAACAGGGUCUGGGCUGUCAAUUAAGAUCUAAAUUUGGCUCCCAGUGAAGAGAAAUAGCAACCAUCAAGCUGUAAAUGCUUCUUUAAUGAGGUAUGAAGAACUAAGCUUGUCACCAAGAAGAAAGGUUCCAGUGGAGAGUUCUAAGAAUUGAAAGAGAGGUGAACAAGCUACACACACGCCAGAUUAGCAUUCUCAUUCUUCAGUUUUCUUUGGUUAGUGUGGAAAGUAAUCAGUUUAUGUAUUCUGUCUACUUCCAUGUUGCUUUUCGUGUCAUUAGGAUGACUGUUAGAUUGUAGAUCCCUAGAAAAUAAUGCUUCCUUUCUUUCCUCCUAGCUGCUUUUUUUCUCCUGCCUUCUCCUUCUUUCCCCUGCCCUUUUUUACAACUUUCUUGAAAACUCAGUUGCAAGUACAAAGUAAAGCUUGCUGAGCGUUCACAAAAUGAGGCUGUAAGUACAACCAGCAUUCAGAUCGCAAAAUAGAAAUUUCUAAAACUGCAGAAGCUCUGGAUGCCCCCUUGCAGUUACUACCAAAGGUAAAUACUGUUUGGAGUUAUAACAACAUAGAUUAAAUUUGCCUAUAUUUGAACUUUAUAUAAUUAGAACCACAUAGUCUACUCUCUGUUGUGUUUGGCUUCUUUUUUGCUUAGCAUUAUGUUUGUACGCCUCGCCCAUGUUGUUGCAUGUUACAAUAAUUUGAUCAUACUUAUUCAUUUUGCAUUGUGUGGAUAUGUCACAACUUUAUUUAUAGUCUCUUCUGUUAGUGGAAAUUAUUAUACAUGUCCUUUGGUGAACUUAUAUAUUUACAUCUUUUGGGUAUAUACCUUGGGAAAUGGAAUUGCUGAGUUAGAAAAUAUAAUAUGAUUUUCUUAGCUUUAAUGACCCUUCGGGCAUCCUCUUUGUCAAGUUCUUAUUCAGGCUUUAUGCCCAUUUUCCUAUUGAUUUUUUGACCCUUCACCCUCUUAAUGGUUUGUUUUGAAUGAAGAGAUUCUUGAUUUAAUACUGUUCAAUUUAUCCACUUUCCUCCCCUUUUAUUGUUAAGUAGCUUUUGGAGUCUGAUUUAAGAAAUCUUUGCUGACUUGAAGGUCACAAAAAUAUUGCUCUAUAUUUCUUUCUAGAAGAUUUAUUUAGUUUCACAUUUAGAUCUACCACAUCCUCAUAGGUAAUUAGCUGGACAGAGAACCGAAGUCACCUGUGACAUGGCUUAGCUAUUUGCUCUGGGAAAUUCCCGCAAACCAAAUUCUCCAGGCAAAUAUCUUACUUAUCUAGGAAAAUACCUCUCCCCUAUCAGGAGAAUAGAUUUCUCACCCAAACAGACAGCUCAUGUGUCAAAAAUCAGUUUACUUAUCUGGAUUUACUUCAUGCCUUUCUCUGUGUCCACCAAUCCUAAACUAUCACGUAACAAUUUCUUCCUAAUCUCAGUUGUUCCUAGCCUGGAAAAAAAAAUCUAGCCCUAACCACGUGAGCCCAAAUCCAAAGCCCCAAACACCUUUCUCUGACUUUUG
ensembl:lincRNA